rnacentral:lncRNA from 10 species
CCUGUCUCAAGCUCCCUAGUAGCUGGGAUUACAGCAUUUUAUACUUUCCUGCCACAUAUGGUUGUGUGGGAUUUUACUGUAGCAAGAUUCUCAGGAAGAAAGGAGGGUUGCUGAACUUCAACCCAUGUUCUGAUUGUGAAGUUAUGAAUUUAUGGAGCUCUUUCAAACUGGAAGAAAUUAUUUAUUUAAUAUAAUGUAAAAAAAGAGAUGUGCUAUAAGGAAUUAAUAGAGAAUGAGGCACUGAGAGGAAGGAACAAGAAAAAGGAUCCUUUACUGGGAAUAAGGUGUAAAAGAGCAUAAAAAGGUAACAUUUCUUAGGCUGCUAAAAUGCAGGAUGUAAUGAUGGGGGAAAAGAAAGGUCAACUGAGGGGGCAAAGAUAGGAGAUAGUAAAGAUAUUAACACCGAAAGGCUAAAAGAGGGUUGAAGCAGUAGGAAGUAGAGGUCUCUGAUAAAGUUAGCAUUACUUUUCUGGUAUUUGAGUUGGACAGGUGAAGGGCCAACUUGUCCUACUGCAAAGGAGGUUCAUUUAUGUGUAGUUUGUUUAAGCUCAAGGUGUUCCUUUAGUCUCAAAUGGAUGACAUCCCGCUGGCACCCUCUGGUGUGUAUGACUAUUUGUAACCACAUGGUGGCAGUACUGGUAAUACUGUAUUCUCCAUCUCCCUUUCACCCUUCCACCACCCUACCCUACCCAGAGGUGUCCAAUUUUUUAGCUUCCGUGGGCCACAUUGCAAGAAGAAGAAUUGUCUUGGGCUACACAUAAAAUACACUAACAUUAAUGAUAGCUGAUGAGCUACAAAAAAAAAAAAAAAUCUCAUAAUGUUUUAAGAAAGUUUAUGAUUUUGUGUUGGGCUGUAUUCAAAGGCGUCCUGGGCUGCAUGUGACCCACAGGUCACGGGUUGGACAAGCUUGCUAGACCCUUGGCAGAUCUUGGACAUAUGAGAAGGUGAAAAAUCUAACUCCUGUUUCUCUUAGUAAUCUGUAAAUUAAGGAGGAACAGUACCUGUCCCAUUUCUACAGGCAGUCUACCUUUCUUUUUGAUGUUCCGCCAAUAGCACAAGAGAAGAUCACGAUGUUUCCAAGUCAAUGGGCAUAUCAUUGCCAGUCUUCCAUUUGUGAAAGCAACCUCCCUGAUGAGAAGGAACUGAAUUUUACAGAGCUGUUCUCCUGGUCUUCUGACAUUAUCAGAGGGUAAAAGUGAAAAUAGUAUUAGCUUUUAGAGCCACAUUGGUUUUUUACAGCUGGCAUCCAUUUGAAUUAGUCAGUGUUGUGCCAAACUGGUUAGUAACUAUUUUGAAUAUCAUACAUGGUUGAAUUUAUUCUCUGAGCUGGACCCUCUCAAUAAUUCUUUUUGAAGGGGUGGCUGGCCCUAAUCUCAAGUAAUUCUCAGAACCUACUAAUU